rnacentral:rRNA from 1 species
CUACGAGUGGCUGCAGUGGGGAAUAUUGCACAAUGGAGGAAACUCUGAUGCAGCAACGCCGCGUGGAGGAUGACACUUUUCGGAGCGUAAACUCCUUUUAUAUAGGAAGAAGAUGACGGUACUAUAUGAAUAAGCGCCGGCUAACUCCGUGCCAGCAGCCGCGGUAAUACGGAGGGCGCAAGCGUUACUCGGAAUCACUGGGCGUAAAGAGCGUGUAGGCGGAUUAAAAAGUCAGAAGUGAAAUCCUAUAGCUUAACUAUAGAACUGCUUCUGAAACUCUUAAUCUAGAAUAUGGGAGAGGUAGAUGGAAUUUCUGGUGUAGGGGUAAAAUCCGUAGAGAUCAGAAGGAAUACCGAUUGCGAAGGCGAUCUACUAGAACAUUAUUGACGCUGAGACACGAAAGCGUGGGGAGCAAACAGGAUUAGAUACCCCGGUAGUC